rnacentral:rRNA from 1 species
GACGAACGCUGGCGGCGUGCUUAACACAUGCAAGUCGAACGGAAAGGCCCUGCUUUUGUGGGGUGCUCGAGUGGCGAACGGGUGAGUAACACGUGAGUAACCUGCCCUUGACUUUGGGAUAACUUCAGGAAACUGGGGCUAAUACCGGAUAGGAGCUCCUGCUGCAUGGUGGGGGUUGGAAAGUUUCGGCGGUUGGGGAUGGACUCGCGGCUUAUCAGCUUGUUGGUGGGGUAGUGGCUUACCAAGGCUUUGACGGGUAGCCGGCCUGAGAGGGUGACCGGCCACAUUGGGACUGAGAUACGGCCCAGACUCCUACGGGAGGCAGCAGGGGGGAAUAUUGCACAAUGGGCGGAAGCCUGAUGCAGCAACGCCGCGUGCGGGAUGACGGCCUUCGGGUUGUAAACCGCUGUCGCAGGUGACGAAGCGUGAGUGACGGUAAUGGGUAAAGAAGCACCGGCUAACUACGUG